CGUAGGGGGCAAGCGUUGUCCGGAUUCAUUGGGCGUAAAGAGCGUGUAGGCGGCCAGGUAGGUCGGUUGUGAAAACUGGAGGCUCAACCUUCAGACGUCGACCGAAACCAUCUGGCUAGAGUCCGGGAGAGGAGAGUGGAAUUCCUGGUGUAGCGGUGAAAUGCGCAGAUAUCAGGAAGAACACCCGUGGCUAAGGCGGCUCUCUAGUACGGUACUGACGCUGAGACGCGAAAGCGUGGGGAGCGAACAGG
rnacentral:rRNA from 1 species